rnacentral:tRNA from 1 species
UUAAUUGAAGCCAAGGUUUGGUAAUUUAUUGUUAAUAAGUUUUUUGAGUAGUUCUCCAUUUAAU